rnacentral:lncRNA from 1 species
CUCGUCGUGCGCCUGGGCUGCAGCGCGCGUUGACUGGCCCAGCCUCCUCCCGUUCCAGAUCGCGAGGCCCGGCCUCCUUCGAUCCAGCCGGCCUGCUUGGCCUCUCUCCAGUUCCGGGCCAAGGCCCAUGGUGAGGCCCAGCGCCUCCUUUGUUUUUUUUCUUUUUCUUUAUUCCCUAUUGGGCCUCUGCUUAGUCUCAACCCUUAUGUUUUUUUCCUGACUGCGAUUUUAGCUUUUAUUCCAGAGACGACUAUUUUACAGAAAACCCCCUAGUUUCAUGCAUUUAAUAACUCAUCAUCUGUGCACCGAAUUAAAAUAAUUUAUAUAUGAAACUUGCUUAAAAUUAUGUGUAGAUUCAUAAUAUGCCACUUUCUUGCCAUGUGAAAAUGCUUAAAAUGUUGUUUGUUUAAAUUUUGCUCAAAUAACUUGUUAAAAUGGUUUAAUUCAUAACUAAUUAACCGUAGCUCUGUUUUAAAUAAUCUUUAUAUGUAAUUGGGGUAGAAAAAUGCCUAGUUUAUCAUGGUUCACUGUCUUUGCAUGUUUAAUAACUCUAAAAUGGUGUUUAGGGCAGAAGAGGACCAAACCUAAUAAAUGCAUAUGAGGAUUUUCCGGAAGUGUUGUUUAUUGUUCCGGCCUCAUUUAAAUUUGCCUAGAUAGGUAGUUUUCAUUUGCUUCACCCCUUGCCAUGUUAAUCAACAUUUAAUAUUGUUGGGUACAUAAAAGAGAUCGAACUAAAUAACUUGUUGUGGUGUUUCGUCAAUAUGCAACUCAUUGCAUAUUGAGCUCCACUUAAUUUGUAGGGUUGCUUGUGCACUUUGCCAUGCCAUGAUUCAUUAAACCGGACAUGCAUCAUACUUGGUUGUGCAUCAUGCUAUGUCCAUGUGGUGGUUGUUUACUAUGUUGUUUGCUCCUUUCCGGUGUUGCUUCUUCGGGUUGGUUCCGAUAACGUCGUGUUGUGAGGACCCGUUCGACUACGUCCGUUUGUCUUCUUCAUGGACUCGUUCUUCUUCCUUGCGGGAUCUCAGGCAAGAUGACCAUACCCUCGAAAUCACUUCUAUCUUUGCUUCCUAGUUGCUCGCUCUUUUGCUAUGCCUAUGUUGCGAUACCUACCAUUUGCUUAUCAUGCCUCCCAUAUUGUUGAACCAAGCCUCUAACCCACCUUGUCCUAGCAAACCGUUGUUUGGCUAUGUUAUCGCUUUUGUCAGCCCCUCUUAUAGCGUUGUUAGUUGCAGGUGAAGAUUGAAGUUUGUUCCUUGUUGGAACAUGGAGAUGUUGUUACUUGUUGGAACAUGUUUACUUGUUGGGGAUAUCACAAUACCUCUUAUUUAAUUAAUGCAUCUAUAUACUUGGUAAAGGGUGGAAGGCUCGGCCUUAUGCCUGGUGUUUUGUUCCACUCUUGCCGCCCUAGUUUCCAUCAUAUCUGUGUUAUGUUCCCGGAUUUUGCGUUCCUUACGCGAUUGGGUAAUAAUGGGAACCCCUUGACAAAUCGCCUUGAAUAAAACUCUUCCAGCAAUGCCCAACCUUGGUUUUACCAUUUGCCACCUAGCCUCUUUUUCCCUUGGGUUUCCGGAGCCCAAGGGUCAUCUUAUUUAAACCCCCCCGGGCCAGUGCUCCUCUGAGUGUUGGUCCAAACUAGAGCCCUGUGCAGCGCCCCCUCGGGGAAACUCAAGGUUUGGUUUUAGUUGUACAGAUUGCUCAUCUGAGUGUGCCCUAAGAACGAGAUAUGUGCAGCUCCUAUCGGGAUUUGUCGGCACAUUCGGGCAGUGUUGCUGGAUUUGUUUUAACUUGUCAAAGUUGUCUUGUAGAACUGGGAUACCGAGUCUGAUCGGAAUGUCUCGGGAGAAGGUAUAUCAUUCGUUGACCGUGAGAGCUUGUCAUGGGCUAAGUUGGGACUCCCCUGCAGGGAUUUGAACUUUCGAAAGAUGUGCCCGCGGUUAUGGGCAGAUGGGAAUUUGUUAAUGUCCGGUUGUAGAAAACCUAAAGUUAACCUUAAUUAAAAUGCAUCAACCGUGUGUGUUACCGUGAUUGUCUCUUUCCGGCGGUGUCCGGGAAGUGAACACGGUGUUGGAGUUAUGCUUGACGUAGGUUGUUCUAGGAUCACUUCUUGAUCAUAGUUUCUCGAUCGUGCUUUGCCUUCUCUUAUCGCUCUCAUUUGCGUAUGUUAGCCACCAUAUAUGCUAGUCGCUUGCUGCAGCUACACAUCAUACCUUUGCCUUACCUAUAAGCUUAAAUAGUCUUGAUCGCGAGGGUGUGAGAUUGCUGAGUCCCCAUGUCUCACAGAUACUUCCAAAACCAGUUUGCAGGUGCCGAUGUUGCCGAGCAGGUGACGCAACCUAGCUCAGGAGGAGCUCGAUGAAGAUCUUGUCCUUUGUGUUGUUUCGUUCUAGUUGAUCAGUAGUGGAGCCCAGUUGGGGUCGAUCGGGGAUCUGUGUAGCUUUUGGGGUAGUCUUCUUUUAUUUUGGUUCCUUAGUCGGACCUUGAUUGUAUCUGGAUGAUGUAAUGCUUUAUUCAUGUAAUUGUGUGAAGUGGCGAGUGUAAGCCAACUAUGUAUCUCUUUCCCUUAUGUAUUACAUGGGUUGUGUGAAG